CUUGACCACAGAGAUCAAAUAUAGCAUUCAGAGUGGAGCUGGGGAGACCUUCUGAAGAUUUGUCCAUGUCCUCUGCAAAAGAGCUCAGUGUGAAUUCUUCUGAGAAGGUAAAGUUGAAAUCUGUACUUUUGAAGCUAGGUUCCACCCAGAGUCACUUUGACCUCUGCCAUGUCUGAAUCAUCAUUAAGUGAGCUUUCCAGGCUUCGGCACAUAGAUCUAUAAAGCCUGCUUCUAGACUUCUCCCGUUCCCAUGCUUUCUUUUUCUGAACACAUUCAAGGUGUGGAUUGUCAGGCUCCUUCAACAAGACAGUGGAUGAAAGGAGAGAGAAGACCUAGGGUUCCUAGAUGGCUCUGUGGGACAAGAAUCAAGGUUUCUUGGAGGUAUCUGACUGAAACAGGCUCCUGGCCUCUGCAAUGCACUGGGAUUGGAUUGAGUGUUGCGCAUGUGCAUUAUCUGGAAGAGGGCUGCAUUUUGUUUGUGCAUGCAUGUUUGCAGGCAUAUGUGCAUGUGAGUCUUCCCCAUGCCUGCAUACAUUCAGUACAGUCCCCAAUGUCAAAUAGUUUGUGUGCUCAGAGUUUGUGUGAUAUCAGAGCUAUUCAGCCAAUAGCAAGCACAGAAGCCUUAAUAUCUAUGCCUUUCUAUGCCUACUAUACCAUCAGGUAGAUCAGUCAAUGGCAUUAAAAGAAAGUGAAAGAGGUCAAUGACUGAAUGGAAGAUUUACAAGUUUAAGAUCAAGGAAGGGAAUGCAGGAUGUAAUAGAGAUGAUCUUUCUCCAUAGUCCUGUCAAAAAUUACAUUGAAGCUAAUCUUGCCAAGAAUGUAAUAGCUUGUCAGUUAGACUAGUAUGCAAUUGAUCUUCCAUCUCCCAGACCCUUUACUUUUCAAAUUUAUUUUCUGCUUUAAUUGAGAGUCACCUAACUUUCCAUAGCAAAUGACAAAGAAAUUAUUAUCCAUGCUGUCAGUUCAGAAAAAAAGAUGGAAGGGGAAGACAAUCUGUUGUCAUAAUCCAAUAUUCUGAAGCUUCUUGAAACAUUGAGGUUGCCAGUAGCACAGACUGAUGGUCCCAAUUACCCAUGGUCUCUCUGCUAGCCAAGGCUGGGGUGCCAUGUGACAGACAUCACUCAGGGAAAGAGCAGGUUUUCAUUGUGACUUUGAUAAAUAUUUUCUGCAGAACUUUGUCUCGUAUUAGAAAUGAGCUGAAACUACUGACUGGGGCAAAAGUUUGCACACAUGUCAUUCCAUGAUCAAAGGCACUGGAUAAUCACUGGAUUUCUCCAUUUCAAUAAUGGCCUGUCUCUGAGGCAUUGAAAAUUGACCCUGGAUAACAUUUGAAAAAAAAUCAUUUGGCAUGCUGAUAAAUUAAAUUUGAAAGAGAAUUCUUGUUGCUUCUGCUGUUUUAUGGUGUGUUUUUCCUUUCAUUUAUUUUUGUUUUGUUAGGACGAACUCAAAUCUCUAGUCGCUUUCAGUGUGUAUGAUGCUUGACUCUGAGCCUCUGCUUCAGAUGUCACUGAAGUAAAAGUUUGUAGCCCCAUUUUUAAAGCAUUCUGCUUGUGAGUAGCAAGUAAAAUCUGAUGACAGGUGGAAAGCUGUCGCUUCACAUGGAGGUCUGCCUGGUGCUCACGUGGGAUAGCAUUACUAUGCUGAACAAAUGUGGUGGCCUUUGCUAAUGCGAUCAGGCUACCUGUGCUGCUACUCAGCUUUGAUUUGACUCUUCUCAUGCUCUGGCUCUGUGCCCCCCAAAUUCUGGCUACCAGCCUAGGCACUAAACACAUCUACUUCAUGCACGCACACCUGUACAUGUGUGCGUGUGCACACACAUACAUCAACCCUGCUUGCAGAAUAGAGAACAUGACAGUGUUGAUAUUCCUAGCAGUGUCCUCAAUUUGCACUCAUUCAUGAUGAGUGAUCAUCCUAGUCCUCAUUUGAAAAUAACUGAGGUUUGCAAUGCUCUGGCCACACCUCCAAACCAUCUUUAUUGUCUCCCCAAAGCAAAAACACACCCCAAGCCCACAAAAUUUCUUGAGCUGACAGUGGAAGUCCAGCUCAUUUGAAUUUGGGGGAGCCUGCUGCUUCUGAUCUGAUGUUCAGAAAUGGCCCAAGGCCGUUCCCUCCCAUCAAACUUCUGUCUCUAAGAUUGGCCAUGGUUUGCACAUUUUCUGGGUUUUUUUGUGAAGAAAUCAUGUCUGUGAUUUGUGCACAUAGAUGCAACUUGUGUGAAUUGCUAUAUUUUUCAUGUUUAGGACAAAUUGUAUGAGAACCACUUGCUUUGGGUGCAUAUUGCACAAAUCAGCUGAUUUUACCCAAAUGGCUAUUUAAAUAUGCAAAUUUCUGCCCAUUUUAGAAGCAAAAGUCUACCAGCUAGUUUAAAUCACAGUAUAGCAGGCCAGUGCCAGCAUGGAGCUGAGAAGCCAAAAUGUGAGGAGAAGGAAUAUCAUGAAACUCUAGCAGGUUUUAAUGCCCUUAUCAGUUUCCACACACAACCCUAUCACACGUGAGUUCACAUAUAAAUGAGCAUUUGGCAACAGAAAGACUAUGCCAUGGUGGGACAGUCAUCAUGGAUGCUCACAGAAUCUGAGAGGAAUGAAGCCCUGCUCACAGCAGAGUAGACCCAUCCCAAUUCUGGUUCUGACCAUUCAAGAAGGGUUGCUUGCCUCUGGGGAUGUAUUUGCUUUGAAUUCUCAGCAUUUUCACAUGCAUUGAUCUGCUUCCAUACAUUCACAUACUGUUUCCUCUCAUUUAAUAGUAGUAUCAACACAUUACUAAAUCUGCUCCAGAAAUCUAUAUCUUCCAAUCCCAAGGCUGGAUUUUUAGCUACAAAAUCUUGUCUUAGAAAAAGUAGCUGUGAUCUUGAUUACCUGCACUUGAUAUGUCUGUGACAAAUAAAUUGAUUAUCCCCAAAAUAAUUGCUUUUGCAUCCCAUUCCAGACAUCCUAGCCUUAGCCCUACUUUAUGGCUGUUAUUGCUCUUGACCUCAUAGCAUUGUGGUUCCCUACCUCCACCCCAAUUCAUGCUCAUUUUCCAGUUUUGACAUAAGAAUCUCCAGUGUCAGCAAUUCACCACUCUACAUUCAGGCAUGGAUGUUUCCUAGGAGUUAUCCCAAGAUAACCAUAAACCAUACCUACAAAAAUGGAAUUGUCUGCCUAAAAGGCCCAGUUGUGUGGGACUGGUGUUGGAAUACACUCAUAGCACCUUAAUGUAGAAAAUCCUUGAAUACUCUUGAACAUGGAGUCCUCUCACUGCUUCACUCAGUAAUUUUCUAUUAAGUGAUUCCCCAAUUUUUGCAACAAGACUGCCCAUAAUUUAGUCUUACCCAGGGUUCUGGCAUCUUCAGCCUCUGAAGCUUUAAUUAAAGAUGUUUCAGUCUCUAGUUCUUUUUUUCUUUUUAAAUCUGGAGUGUUUUAUAUCCCACAUUGAUCAAAAUAUGAAAACAUGCCAAAAUUUGAAAAUUUUAUCAUAUAUGGGACAAAAAUGGGACUUGAGAUUAAAAGAUUCAAUGUGGGAGACACAAAACUGACAGAUUCAUCCCUCAGGUUCAGGGUUUUGUGUCCAUUGCUGCCCCACUUUCAUUGCUCAAAGUGUACAUCAUCAUUAGUUGAUCUGUUAACAUUGAAGAACAUUUGGGCUAAUUACAUGAAAAAUGUUAACUCACUGGAAAGUGAACUAUUGAAGUCUGUGGUUAUUCUUCCCCCUUUCUCUCCUGCCCUCCCCCGAUCUCUCUCUCCUUUCUUUCCUCAUACUCCCAGCUCACCCAAGGUUGGCAUCUCUUGAGGAGCAAUUAGCUGGGCCAUGACAAUGAUAGUAAAACACGUAGCAAUACCAUUUCUUCUAUGUUAAGUAUCAUAUUUUAUAAAGACAUCAUUGCGAGUUGUCAGCAGCUAUUCAGUAAGUGCACUAGCAUCUUAUUCAACUGAAAUGUUCAGGAGAACGGUUUCACAUCAUUUGAAACAUGAAUUGUGGCCACAUGAACAAGGUUUGCUUGAUAAAAUGAGCUUUUUUCCAAAGUGUAUCCAGAUGGGCAUUCCUUUUUCCUUUUCCAGAUGGUGAUGCACAGAUCUGUCUGGUUUGCCUUAUCCCACAUUCAUGAAAACAAACAAACAAACCUCAGUCUCUUUUCAUCUCAAACGUUAAGAAAUUUGAGAAUUUUGCUAGAUUUUUAUGGAAAAAAGAAAUAAAAUGUUCACUGGUCUACACUGGUAAAGUACAGUAUCUGUCCCCAGCAUGAAAAGGAACAGGUUAUAUUUGUCUGCCACUGUGACUUAAAAUAUGAGGGGUUUGUUAGGAAAAUAAAAGAAAAACAAAGAAAAAGAGGUUGCAACCCCAAUUCAACCCUAAAAACUUCACUGAAUAUAAAUGAUAGAACCCUUGACUGUUAAGAGGUAAUCAUGCAAAGUCCCAGGCCCAUAAGAAUAAAUCUCUCAGCCUUGGUUUCUACUGUGAGAUGAAGAAAACAAGAUGAGGAAACAGAAUUUUCAAGUGUGCAUAGUAUGAGUUCAAAAGGAGCAAAAUUCAAUGCAAACUUCAUUUAUGCAGUGCCAUUUGUACUCCCAGAUAAUUCAAUAGUAAAUAUAUUUCAAUUGCCUGAGUCAUUACUGCUACUAAUAAAACUUUUACAAUGAAGUUUUCUUCUGUUAAUAUGAUCUUGAAUACAAGAUCAGAGCAGAAUUAAGUGCUUUAUUUUGAGAAGAGUUUUCAAAUAUUUAUGCGAAACCUCUCUCUUUCUCUCUCUGUCCUAUCUCUGAUGUCAUCUUGUAAUGCAAACUACAGUCAUAGAAUCAUGAAUAUUUAUGUAUUGCUUAGCUGGGAAAAUUGAUGUAAAUUAAGCAAUUUUAAACACAGGCAAUAUUUGCUUAAAGCCUGUCUCUUUGUAAAACUCUCCUUAAUAUGAUGUUGUUUCCUGGACUCUGUGAGGAAGCUUUGGAAGCACUGGAAGCUCUUGAACCCAGCGCAAAGCAGGAAGCUUGAUGCUUUCACACAUUUGGUGUCGAAUGUUUGGUAUCUCAUUUGCAUGCAAGCUGCAAAGAAGAAUGAUCACCUUAAACAGUGAUUAAAAAUUAGGAUUGGCAGUUAUGGCCAAGUAAGCCUCUUUGCUGAUCAAUAUGCAGUCUGAGGCAGGGACUAAUUCCUCCCCUCUUUGGAUUACAUUUUGCAUUGAAUGAGCUCUAGUUCACAUGGAACUUUUCUUUAAUCAGUAGAAUCCAGACACCAGUCUCAAAAUAUAGUGAACUGAAAGGUUAAAACAAUAGCAGCACAGUCAAUGCAGCAGCAUAUCUAUUCAGAAAAGUCCCAUUGACUUCAUCAGGAUUUCCUGCCAGAUGUAAAUACAGGAUUUUAGCAUAGUGCAUUAAGGGUGGGGGGCAGUCUGUUAAAAUAUUUGUUUUUAAAGUGAAUACAAUACAUUACAACCUCUGUGUGUAUAUCAAGGAGGCUUCAGGAAUUUCAGUAUCUGAAAAUUCUAUAUCAAUUAAUUUGAUCCACAGUUCCUGGAUCAACAGCUGCAUUGCAACUUCAUUAUUCACUGGAGACUGCACUGCCUGAAUAUUGCAAUUCAGUUCUUGGCUGAGAAAGGAAAAAAAAUCAAACUGCAUCUUGACAUGUAUGCUUUAAUGCAAAAUAUGCUUGGAUAUGUAUUUGCAUGAACUUUUUGAAGUGAAUUUACAGGAAAAAACAUCACAUAUUAAUGUGGAAACUGGAUGAGCUGCUUCACAGCUGCAAAACUGAUAUUGUAUGGAUCUUCUGUAGGUGCUCUGGACAUAUUUAUUGGCAAUUAAUUUACAAAAUAUUCAGAGGAGUUGGGGUCCUUCUUCCAAAUUUUCUGAAGAGCUGCAAAGUUAUCCCAAAAUCAUGAACUGCAUGAAAGGUUUUAUAUUUGAAGUUAACAAUGCUUUGCCUUCCAAAGGCAGUAGAUAUUUAUUUUCUGCUGUCAGAAGCCUCUGCUAAGUAGACAAUGCAAUUUCUCUUUAUACAACUUGUCAGUAAUGCUCUGUCAUCACAAAAGAGCAGUUUCCGGAAGUUGUGGCAUUUAUAUGCCACAAACGAAGUUGUGGACAGGCUUGGGAACAAGUGACAAGCACAAAGUUGUGCUGUGGAAUCUUAAUGCAAAGUACAACCUUAGAAAUUUUGUCAUUUACAAAAACAAAAGGAAAAGAAAAACAAAAAACAACCUCAAUAUCAUCUACAGGAUUAGAAUAAGCAGAUCAUUUACCAACACAUAAGCCCACAGUGAAACUUUGGAACAUGCAGCUGAUAGCGAUGACAGAUCCUGUAAUUCUUAUCCUGUUUACAGUUGCAUCUCAUGCCCUAAACCAGGUUCAAAUUCCUCCCAGGAAUAAAAUAAUGCCACUGUUCAUCCCACAUUAUACCUGAGCUAAGGAAGGUUGUACGCUUUCAUGAGGCUGAAUCCCUGUCUAUGCUCCAUCUGAGUAACCUGCAGAGUUCAGGAAUUUCCACGAAGAAUCAUGACAGACUCUGUGACCCCAGUCCCUACCCACCUAACAGCAUGGUCUUGAGGGUAAAACUCAGGUUAAGCACCAGAAGACACAGUGCCCAUUCCAUACUGAGGAGGAGAAUGAACAACUGAAGCAUACUAUGUAUCAAAGGAAGGAAAGCCAAAGGAGGGAAUUGGAGCAGCAAGGCCAGGAGUACCUCCUUCCACCCAGAAGCUUGUGCUCUAUUGGUAACUUCUUGGCUAGGUGGCUCCCGGUGUUCCUUGAACAGCCCUGGCCAAGUUAUCCCUCUAACUCUAAUAUGCUGUUUCCCAGACUCUCAAGUACUGAUGAGGAACUAAAGCCUGACAGUCCAGGUUUAGUUGGUAUGGGGCAAGCAUCACCCCCAUUAUUGCCCCAUUUCCAAGGACUCUUGCCCAAGUGUGUACUUUGAAAACCUCCAGCAGAGAUGCUUUGGCAGAAUUCUUCCACCAGAAUUUAAUCUAGUUGUUACUUGUUAGCAGCUGUUAACUGUUGUUCUGCAGGAUUGCACUAUGUUCUGGUUUUAGCUGUCUGGCUGUAAAAGUGUGGUUUUAAAUGCGGGUUUAAUUUUUAAUGCAAUUUUAUGAUGUUUUAUUGUUUCAAUCUAUACUGCGUUUUACUGGAUUUAUUAUUCCUGUUCUCUACUCAGAGAGCUUCAGUUAUUAGAAGGCAUAGAAAUUAAAUGAAUGAAUAAAUGAGCAAAUGAAUAAAUCUAACCUUUCAUUUGGAGUCCUCUAUACAUACAUAUAGAAGAACAAGAUGACAGAAUGACUAGCGUCAUACCAGACUACAGGUGGUAGUAGAAUAUCAUAUUUGGAUGCUUUCACAUAUAACUAACCAAUGUGGGGGGAGAAUUUACAAUAGAGUCAAUGAACAAGUCAGAAGAAAGGUUUUAGACCAAUUCAUUUUCUACUUGUGAGCAGUUGCUUCAUUACAAUUAAUGUAAAAAUCUAAAAUUUGACUCUUCACGAGAAUUUUGAUGUGCUAUUGUCCAUUCUAUCACCUGAUUACCACUUCAUUCUGAAUCACAUGAGGAACAGACCCUGGCUGCAAUAAAAGUAGCUUUGAUACAGAGACCGAGCAAGAGUGAAAGAGAGAUUGUGUGUGGCUGUAGAAGACUAUCCUUGGGGAGAAGUCAACAUGUGGAUGAAAAGUAAAUACUGGGGAAGCACAUGCAUUGCAUGCAGGGCAUUUCAAGUUCAACUGCUGGAAAUGCUAAUUAGAGGAAUCAAGUAGAAGGUGCAUGAAAAAUCCUCUGCAUGUGACCUGGAGAAAACCUUACCGAUUCAAGGUUUGCUCUUGCUGUUUCUAGUGGAACACUGCCAUCUAGUGAUUUCACUGGCCAGAGGCUGUUGGCUGUUGCCAUGCUGAUCUGACUAUCCACAACCAGUUUAGGUUGCCCCUCCCUAUUUUUCUACCUGCUCGAGAAGACUCCUGCGAGGCAAUCAAACUGCUUGACCUUGAUUGACAUUGCCUUUUAUGGGAGAAGCUCUUGAGGAGGAGGGGAAGAGGAGAGACACUUCAAAAGAAGCCGGCCAGGAGCAGGGGGCAGUGCUGCACCAGCUUUCCUCCAUCAGGGAAAUGGGGUGGUGCUUCCGCUGGUCGUACUCUCUAAAUCUCAAGCAUGUAGAAAGAAUUGUGAAUCAUGAAAUGGAGGCGGCAGUGGCAGAAGAUGACUACCAGGACUUCUCUACAUUUUUUGCAUGCCACUGAGUUCUCAUUCAUAGAUGUUUGCAGGCUCUUCCAUGAUACUGUCAUCCUUCAAGGUGUAUCCAUCAGCUCUCCCAUACUUCUUCUGUGAGUCCCCAAACCAUCCCUCACAUGAACAACUGGAUGACAAGUGGACCUUUCAUGACCUGCCCAGCUUGGAGGCAAUUCAAGGGGUCUCUUCACUGCUCCAGCUGGUCAGCACUACCCUGGUCAGCACUACUUCACUGCUCCCUGCUGGUCAGCACUACCCCAGGGACCAAGUGCUUCUCCCUUCCUUAAUCUUUCUGCAACAGCUUGCAAUGAGAGGAUAUCUGGUGAUUACUACAUUGUGGACUGUAAUACAACUUGGAUAACAAGAUGUGCUGAGUCAGCCUUGGGACAAAAGUGGAAAAAUGUGGCCCGUGAAAGAUUGGCAGUUGGCAGAUUGAUGGGGAAUGGUCCUGACUUUGGUGCUUCUCCUGAGUGGACUUGAACUGAAGCACAAAGUGGAAGAUAGCACUGCAUCUUUUUACCUUUCUGACUGCACAGAGCAGAUGCUUUGCUCCUGGGUGUUCCAUACCUGCUACUUUAGUAUGAGACAUUUGUUGCUCUGCAUGCUGAGGAGCCAGUCAGCUGGAGAGGACUGGCUGGGAAAUGGAUACAUCAUGAAUAAACAUUUGCUUUAAGUUCACAUUAGAUGACCAUCUUCCUUCACUCUUGCACAUUAAUUCCAUACACAAUAUAUUGUAUUGAAGCCACAUGAAGCCAUCCGCCAAGCAUCUACUCCAACAGGGAGGCUCCUAUUACGAUCUGGGACUAUUUCCACAUUCCUCUGGGCCUUCAAGCUGUCCUCAGUUGUCACAGUCAUUGCCUGGAUGCCUUCACAAGGACCUUUGACUUCAGCAAGCAAAAGAGACAAGGAGGAAGGGAAGAGAGGAAAGUGCUGUGUGUGUCAGCUCCUUGAUUAGUUAAUCAUACAAGAGGGCACUCAAUGAAAUGCCAGAUAUAGAAGGAAGAUAUCUUUGAGUUCUUCUCUUUGUGUCUGCAACAAUAUACAAAAAGACAGACCACAAAUACAACAAAAUGCAAUAAAACAAGAAUACAAGGAAAAUUAACAUUGCAACAAUUGCAACUGAUAAUACAACAUGAUUGUGCCAAAAUUCCUUUUGUGUUCUGCAUUAUUCAUGUACAUGGAGGCUUUCAGUCCAUGGGACAGAGGAACUUUAGACUCAUGGCCCAGACCUGGAUGGUCCAAGGGAAAGCAAGCCUGCUGUGGAAUCCACUGGGCAGCCUCCAGGAAAAGCAGACUCAUUUAAGUCCUUUGUGGAUUUUUUUGAUACCCCUCGGCAAGAGCGGAGCUGUGAAAUGUGUUCUCACUCUGCCUUUAUAUGCCUCUGUCUGUGAAUAAGUCUACUGUACCUGCUUUUCCAGAAGAUUCCCCUUCCUGUAGCACUGGCAAUUCUGACCCAGCUGAGGAAUAAUGACGGCUGAAUUCCAGUCUGAACAAUGAUCGUUAAGUCCACUUGUUUCUACAUCACCUGCUAAAUUUAUGUAAUCAAGUGAGUUGGUUGUACAGCAGAUUCAGUCUUCAGUAUUUAAUUGGGGGGAAAAAAAUCCAAAGACUGCAAUCUAAAGUGUGACAGAGAAAAUAACACAUUAUGUUGAUUUUUAUGGGAAGACAGAAGGGUAGAAACAGCAGAUUUUGCAAGAAAUAAUAUGAGUUAGACUCUGAUGUUAAGUUCAGCUGUUAACAACUGUAAACGCUGUCUGCAUGACAAUGAAAACAUGAAUCUUUCAGAGUAAUUGGGAAAAUAUUUUAAUUUUUUUGUUAAGGGUGUCAACCUUGAUACCCAGAUUAUUUCAUAAUUAAAAUGAUAUAAAGAGCACUCAUGUAUUUAUAGUUACUCGUAGUCCCCACUAAGUUCAAUGGGGUUUAUCCCUGAGUUAGCACCUAAUUCUAUACAAGAUAAGGCAGAAGAAGGGAGCACAAUGCCAAGCAUGAGCUACCCAGCAAUGCUGGCUGGGCCAUGGUGGGAGUUGCAGGCCUCUGUUCUGUCUAAAUUGCAAUGGGAUUGUGCCAUUGAUGUGCAGAGGAAUCUGUAUAGAGACAAUCAAGCUGUGAAUCCUAUGAAACUUAGUUCCCCCUUUCUAUCUGGUUCAUUUCUUCUCAGCCUGGCAAGGUAAGCCUUUGGUAAUUACAGAAGCUGCCGGGGUAGGGUGUGGCUCACAUCUCUUUGGUGUGUAUCUUAAUACAUGCCAACCUAGUCC